UCACUGCAUGCUUAUUUCAGUUACCCGCCCCCGCUGCUUGUUGUUCUAAACUGCUGCACCGUCGUUGCCGCCGUUCUGGUCACCGGGUGUGGCGUGGGUGAUCACCGGAACCACCAUCGGAGUUACCGUUAUUUCAGUUCAGCCGUUCAUCCUUGUUUGGGAUCGAGUUACGGGUCUUGAUUGCUGAGUUCUAUGGCUGCUGCAUACAGCAUCAAGGUGCUGCGUCGUCACCGGAGCUGCUGUUGCUCCGUUUUCUUGAUUAUUUGUAAGCCCAGAUUGGGCUAAGACUGUGUUUAGAGGUUGUGGCUGCUGCGGGGACGGUCAGUAUUAAUGUUGUUGCUGUGGGAUAAGAAUAAAAAUGCGGU